rnacentral:rRNA from 1 species
GCUAAAUAAGAGCGUAUGGGGAAUGCCUAGGCUCUCAGAGGCGAUGAAGGACGUGAUAAGCUGCGAAAAGCUACGGGGAUUGGCACAUACAAAUUGAUCCGUAGAUAUCCGAAUGGGGCAACCCAGCAUGUUGAAGACAUGUUAUCCGCAAGGAGGCGAACCCGGAGAACUGAAACAUCUAAGUACCCGGAGGAGAAGAAAACAAAAGUGAUUCCGAUAGUAGCGGCGAGCGAAAUUGGAUUAGCCCAAACCAGUAUUGUUACGGCAAUGCUGGGGUUGUAGGACCACAAUAUUCGAUGCAUAAUGAAUUAGAACAGUUUGGAAAGACUGACCGAAGAGGGUGAUAGUCCCGUAUAAGUAAAGAUUGUUAAGAUAGUGGUAUCCUGAGUAGUGCGGGGCACGUGAAACCCUGUGUGAAUCAGUCGGGACCAUCCGAUAAGGCUAAAUACUCCUGAGAGACCGAUAGUGAACUAGUACCGUGAGGGAAAGGUGAAAAGAACCCUGAACAAGGGAGUGAAAAAGAUCCUGAAACCGUGUGUUUACAAGCGGUCGAAGCCUUAGGGCGACGGCGUGCCUUUUGCAUAAUGAUCCUACGAGUUACUCCUCAUUGGCAAGGUUAAGUCUUUAAGGGACGAAUCCGAAGCGAAAGCGAGUCUGAAUAGGGCGACAUAGUCAGUGGGGGUAGACGCGAAACCUUGUGAUCUACCCAUGGCCAGGUUGAAGUUUUGGUAACACAAAAUGGAGGACCGAACUCAUAUACGUUGAAAAGUGUUGAGAUGAGCUGUGGGUAGGGGUGAAAGGCCAAUCAAACUGGGAAAUAGCUCGUACUCCCCGAAAUGCUUUUAGGAGCAGCGUGGAGGUUAAGUCUGUUAGAGGUAGAGCUACCGAUAGGACUAGGGGGAGUCAAAUCCUACCAAAUCCUGACGAACUCCGAAUGCUAACAGAUAUACUCCGCAGUGAGGGCAAGGGUGCUAAGGUCCUUGUCCGAGAGGGAAAGAACCCAGACCAUCUGCUAAGGUCCCCAAAUGUAUGCUAAGUUGAUCAAACGUGGUCUGAUUGCUUUGACAGCUAGGAUGUUGGCUUGGAAGCAGCCAUUCAUUUAAAGAGUGCGUAACAGCUCACUGGUCGAGCGACAGGGCAUCGAUGAUGAUCGGGCAUUAAGUAUACCACCGAAGCUAAGGCAGUAUUUUAUACUGGGUAGGG